rnacentral:lncRNA from 1 species
UUUCAUAUCCAGAACAAAUUCAUUUUUCUCUCGAUAUAUAUAAAAUUUCAAAUCCAAAAUACCAUGAAGAAUGGACAGUCCCGUCCGUCCAAGGCACCACAAAUAAAUCCACGAACAAAUUCAGUGAGAGAAAAUUUUCAAAAAGAGUUGCAUAUAUCGAGAGAAAAAUGAAUUUGUUCUGAACAGUUACUACUGGUACUGCGAUUUGCAGUUAGUAUGGUCCUCGCCAUGGAUUUGAUGGAAAAUGAUGAUUCGAGGCUGGUUGGCGAUUAUCAAAUCCAACUAAUUUACUUGAAGACGUUGCCAUGGCCGGUUUCAUCGACUGGGCGACAUUGCUGAGUCAGUAUCUUUUGUCCUCUUCUGUUCUUCUUUUCUUAGUUAAUGAAAUUACUUUUGAGCUCUGUAUCACGGUGAUUAUGUAACUGUACCAAUUUGGGAAUUCUAUGUUUUUUACUGUCUAGAUGUUUUUUUCCAAAUUUUUUUGACAAAAAUAAUUUCUGAUAAUGGAUUGGGAUUAGAGGUGGUUUUAUUUCUGCAUAUGGGUUUGAUUAUGUAAAGUAUUUUAGUUUGUUUUAUAUAUCUAAAUACGGUCAAAUUAAUGAAGUCGAUAUACCACGUCGGUAGUCAAAGCAUAUAUCUCUGCAAAAAGUUUGCCAGAGGAGCGCAUUGAUCAUUAUUUAGGGUAUGAAAGAAUUGGGUCUAACAUUGUGUUCAAGUUUACCGGAUGGACUGUAUGGAGUGAUGAUAACAUUGAGUUGGUGAUUGCAGAGAAAUGAAAAUUCAUGUAGUCCUUUUCUAUGUUUAACCUAUUAAACGAGCAUGCCAAAAUUUACCCCCUCCAUCUUACUACAGACGUUGUCAUAGUUGAGUUUAAUAGGUCUCCAAAUGGCAAUUAAUUAAGAUGGUAAUUAAUAUGUGUGGAUCAGGAUUCAGGGCAGUUGCUACUUGUUGUUGGACUAAUAGGGUGAACUAUUUUGAGCCUAAUGUACAUGUCAGACACAACAUAUUCUGGUGGAUAUAGGUUGUAUUAGACAAGCGUGCAGCUGGAGAUGUUUGCAGCUAUCAUUUUGGACAAGACACGAAUAUGACUUCAAAGUUCCUUUGGAUGCUUGCUUUGUUUACCUUGUGGAGAUGUGAAUUAUUGGACCUGAUUGAGGUUUAGAUUUUCAAAUACCAUCUUGUAUACAUCUCCUAUACCAUAUAAAAUUAGACAGAUCCCCUGGACAUAUAAUACCCACAUCUGAUACAUGUAGCUAGCUAUUUGUGAUUUUUAGACUGGGUUUACUGAGGAAUUAUAGAAGAAAGGAGUGAUUGACUGGAUUUUACAAGAAUUCAGACUCUACUAGGGUCAAUUAGAGGUUCAAAUUACUCUCUUUUUUGGUUUUUCAUUACUUGGCCCCUGUUUAUCUAUUGUAGUGGUGAUUCCCGUCCAUUAAAAUAUCACCCGUGUAUCACGGCUCAAAAGAGCAAAGUCGUUCUUGAGCACGGGCGCUGGCCCCCGAUCAGAGGGGCCCUGUUGGGCCAUGAUACUUUUUAUUAUCGGACCGGAUCUAAUGAGUUCUUCCCUUGGAUUAUGUUACUUUUGUCUUGUUGGGCCGAAUGAUUUGGGCCCAAUCAUUUGAUUACGAUUAGUGGGUUAUUUCGGCUGGAUCCGGUCAGUCUGGAUCAUCUUUAUUGUAUUGGGCCAAAUCCUUGGAUCGAUCCAUUACACAAAUUACCACUUAACCCAUCUUUGACCAGUAAUCAUUACAUAAGAUAGUAGUUGACUGUUAUCUGCCACCUUUCCGCAUGGCAUUAAUGAGGAUGAGACUCAAAUGACCGGCGGUGGCAAACAGUAGUAGCAGGUAGGGAGGUGAGCUACUUGCUUUCGGCUGAAAUGACCGGGAGUGGGGGGGAGAUGUCAGGAGAUAGUGGGUGGCACGGUAAACUGGGCCUGGGGUACGUAUGAGGCAAGGAUCACACAAGAAAGGUAAGUAACAAAACAUUAUACCAUACGCAAUCGGAUUAUGAUUCUCUCUCAAGCACUAGACGUUAUUUUUCCUCCAUUGUUAACCUUGUGAUCGCCUGUACUGACUCUCACGCCGGAGCUAUCCCCCGACGGUCCAAGCCGUCAAGCUUCUGGUGUUGACUGUGUUUAUUGUGCAGGAUCAGAACGUCUUACGUGAUUGGGACGUGGCAGAAGAUCUUGGCGUUAANNNNNNNNNNNNNNNNNNNNNNNNNNNNNNNNNNNNNNNNNNNNNNNNNNNNNNNNNNNNNNNNNNNNNNNNNNNNNNNNNNNNNNNNNNNNNNNNNNNNUUGUUGUAGUCGAAGUUCUCAUAUAUUUUAUUGUAGUCGAACUAUUACUCCAUCCUAUUCAGAUUAAAUGACGUUUUAGGGAGUUUAAUUUUAUUCUAUAUAAGUGUCGUUUUGGAAUCUCUAUGCAAUAUUGCACUAUUUUUUUCUAAUUUACCCCUCUAUUUAAUAUGCUUAGUAAAUGCAAUUGUGGAGAGAUAAAUAAUUAAUUAGGGAUAAUUGUGGAGAAUGAGAAGAGACAAUUGUGGAGAGAGAAAUAAUUAAUUAGGGACACAAAAGACAUUUUGUGUUAUUUUUUAAUAAGUGUGCUUAACUCUAAAAUGAUAUUUAAUCUGAAUAGGAGGGAGUAUGUUUUAAGCUCCGAAAAUACACUUUUUUAGAUACAAUUUAUACUUUAUAUUUAUUUAGUUUUACCUUUAUUUUUGAGUGAUUGACAAUGUUUUGAAAAGGGUCUCGUUUUCAAUUUUUUUCUUAGACCACCAAAAUCUCAGGAACGGUUUUGCAAAAGAGUGAAAUAGCACAGCUGAAAGGUUGGUUAGGAAGAGAUAGGUUAAUAUCAUAGUACAGGGUAUGGUUGUUGCAACAUAAAAGUUAGGUAUAUUUAUCAGUUGAGGUGUGAACGUGAUGGUCAAGAACCUCUCCCUGUAUUGAGGUAAGAUUUCUUACAUCUGACCGUUCCCACGUCGGGUUAUUUGUGGGAGCCUUUGCACACAGUACGAAACAUUGAAAAUUUUGAGGUUGUAUUAAUAAUUGAUGAGCAAUAAAGGCUUUGGAGUUCCCAGUCCUCUCUAUAUUUAAUACUACCAAAUCCCAUGUUCAGCUUGCGUCAUUAUAUUCUCUUAUGAGCUCACUUAGUCACGGAUCCCCAUGAGCCCUAUUAUUCUAAAAAAGUGGGAAAGAUGUAUGCUUUUCCAAUGCAGAUUUAAUUAGUAGUACUAAAAAUGUCUUUUUAGAAAUUGUUAGUUCCAACUGCCGGAGGGAAUCUCCAUCAUCAACACAAGUUUUUGAAGAAAAACGAAAAACUAAUCUACAGUUCUUGCACAACUGAUUAAUCAAGCUCAUUGAGGAGUAUAGUUUUUCAGGCAUCAAAAUCUAUUGGAUAUGUUACAUUAAUGUAUUCUCAAAAUGUGCAACUCCUCUGCAAGUUCUCUGCUCACUUACAUGGAAGUUACACUUUAAUCUAAAUCUAAAUACAUAGAGAUUAACAAAAAACAAGCUCUUUGCAAGCCCCCCACCUUCUUUAUGGGAUUUCAGAAAUUUUGUUUGGGUUUGAAAUUAAUGAACCCAAUUAGAUCCAUCUAGCAGAUUGAAGGGGGAGAGUAGGAAUUAAGGAUAUAUUAGAUACUCCCUUAGCUUGCUCGAGCUAUCAAUGCUUCUUCGUCUAUUUCUGUCAAGAAUCACCAUGUUUGUCCCAGCGGACAAGCAUGGUGAUGCAGCGCUUAACAAUGUAAAAUUUGGCCUUCUGUUCCUUGGCCAAGUUGCCACAUUUUCGCGUGAAAUUAGAGCACUUCUGCGAAGAGCUCCUUGAUAGUGAAGAUUUGACUGAAGAGUUUUUACUUGAGAAACUUCUCAGGAGGGAGGACUUGGAGUUGGAGGUCUUCUGGGAAAUACUCCUCAUUAGAGAUGACUUUGAAGAAUUACUAUAAGAAUGAUGGCUACUUGAUUCACUCUUUGAUAAUUUCGACUUCUCGUCCAUGUAGUACUCCAUACCAACUUUAUCAAGUGACCUAGUUCCGAUUCCUUCAAUAUAUAUUAUAUAUAUAUAUAUAUAUUUAUAGACUGAGGACGAUAGACCUGUUGGAGGAGAAGUUGGAGAUACUAUUUAUAAUAGUUUAGGGACAUUGGUUGGAGGAGAUUGCAAGUGGAUGUUGACGAGUGUUUCUUUAACAAUGGCAGCAUCACAUGUGGAGGCCUAUGACCAACUGUCUAGUCUGAUUACAUGAUCAUGAACUCCUACUGUCCCAAAACUGAGUCCCAUUAUGGAAUAUGAUCAGGGUCUCAUUUUGGGACAGAGGGAGUACACUUUUUUUUUACUGCUAUUUGGCAUUAGGCAUUUGGGUGAUAUAUACCCUUGUUGUAUGUGGUUUCUUUUCUCACUUAAGUGUCCUCUCGGUUCCUGAACCUCUGUAUGGAGAUCCAUCAAAUUCUUAUGGAGAUGUGAUUCCAUACGAUCUUACUGUUAAAAUUUCUAUAUUCUAUCACCCUUAAAUGUUACAAGAGUGUUACACACUUGCACCAGGAAUUCUUUGGAGAAAUUAGUAGAUGGCAAAUUUAACAGCUAUUUGAAUAUAAAAAAUAAAGAUAAAAAUUGCUGAAUCCAGUAAAAUUAGUACAGAAGGUCGGUGGUCAUUAAACAAUUGUUAGUGAAGGUCAAGUAUUAUUUUUAUCUUUCUAUAAACAUAACAUGAAAUAUGAAUGGAGCCGAGACCUAAUGUUUAAUACUACUAAUAUGUGAAGCACCGACUCCGGUUCUCUCCCAACAAUGUAUAUGUUCCGCACAUUUUGCAAUACAGCAAAAGGGGCCUAUUUUACAGUGCCUCUGAGAGAACAGGAGAAUCCGAAGGUAUUCAAAGUGUAUAUUUUUGUGCCGAGUUUGCAGUCUUCUUGAGGUAAAAUUUUAAAUAUAGAUAAAUAAUGCUCUUUCUUUGACUCUGAUAUGCUACUCCGUAAUGUUGGAAAUACAAAUUUUAACUGCAUGAAUUAUUUUAUUUUUAAAAAUACAUUGUUAUAUAUCUGAAGUACAAGUAGAAGAUAUAUGUCAAUUAUUUAAACAUGGUAGUAUGGACAAUACCGUUCUGAAUAUGGUGAGUUGUACAUUUUGUUUUCUUUGAUUGGACUGUACCAUUACCACUAUCCCAUGUAAGGUAUCCUAUCCUAUCCUAUGGUUUAGAUUUGGUAAUCCUCAUUUUGAUUCCUCAAUUUUUACUCCCUUGUAAAGCUAGUUACUUUUAUUUUAACCAUUUUCGCCAUCGACUUUAAAGCGUGCUAAAAACAUAUAUAUUUAUUCUUGGCAGGAUAAUUAUGUCUUGUUAAGGCUAUUCAUAACCACCCCAUUAUCUAACUAAUGCUAAGCUAUAGGAUUACUGCAUUUAGAUUGAUGGAAUGGAAUUGAGAUUGGAAUGAGUUAUUCCAUGCUCUCCCUCCUUCAAGACCCUUAUGGUUCAAUGAUAAAAAAAAACUACUCAUAAGACUUUGGACAUGGAAUCUUGGGCAAGAAUAUUAAAUUUCAGUCGAAAAUAGCAAAAAAAAAAUAUUCAAUCCAUUCUAAUCGCAAUCAAGCAUAAUUUUUUUCAUUCCAUAAGAAUGAGUCAUUUCAUUCUUAUCUUUAUUACUUCAAUUCAAACCUUAAGUGGAGACAAACAAAUAAGAUUCACAUGCACAUGCUUCCAUAUGGAUCCGCAGUCAGAAAGUUUGAAUUUCGAUCUGCAAUCAGAAAGAAAUUCAUGCAGUCGCGAAGACUUAUAUAUUCAUUCCUACUUAUUUGACAGAAAACUAAUUUUUGUUAUAUUCCUACUUGUGCAUCACCUGCAACCAUCUUUUAAUUUACACAAUAUUUAUUGUUGUUAGUAUAUAUGUUGAUAAUUAAGCUUAAUUUUUUUAAUUUUUAAUUUUUAUUAUUAGUGAAUCGUUGGUGUGCUGCAGAUUUGUACCAG